UUUUUCUCUGUUUGCGAGACUGCCGGACUGCUACUGCCAUCGCCACUUUUCUAUUCGCUUUCAGCGAGUUGCGAGACUGCCAUCGCUACAGCCACCGCCACCGCCACCACAGCUAUCCACCGCCAUCGCUACAGCCACCGCCACCGCUACUUCUUCAUCCUUCACUUCCAGCUUCUAACCGCCACCGCAGAUAUCCACCGCCACCGCAAGUCGCAACCACGCCGCACUGCCAGCGCCCCUCUAUUCCGCUGUCGUCCAUCCGUCUAGCACUCCGUCUCCAGCGACCGACAAGUCGAUAACAACUUGCAAAUACUCUGGAUUCAGUGGAGGAAUUUAAGUAGGAACAGGAGGAAACUUUUAGAAAGCUUUCCUCAGGUUGUGCUGGUAGCAAACUCACUCCCUGUAUUAAAUGAUAUUACUGCUAUGGAGUUGUCCGAUAUUGUUGCUAAAGCUACUAAGGGUAGCCUUCUUCUUUAGGUGUUUUUUUGGUUCCAGUAUUAUAGGAGAUCAAAUGCCAACCCCCUCAAGUCCCAGAGAUGGUGAUGAUGUGACUAUCACAGUUGGGCACCCUCAGGAGUUUGUGAAGGAUCACUCGAUGUUGCUGUUGAUGGAUUCAACCCACACUUGAUGUUGCUGUUGAUGGAGUUUGUCAAAUGUUGGUGUUUAGCAUUUUUUUAUCACUUCUGUUGAAGGUUAGGAUGAGAGAAAUUGAUGUAUUCACCACUUGCUG